rnacentral:rRNA from 1 species
AUUGAACGCUGGCGGAAUGCUUUACACAUGCAAGUCGAACGGCAGCAUAGAGAGCUUGCUCUCUGAUGGCGAGUGGCGAACGGGUGAGUAACAUAUCGGAACGUGCCUAGUAAUGGGGAACAACUAAUCGAAAGAUUAGCUAAUACCGCAUACGACCUACGGGUGAAAGCAGGGGAUCUUCGGACCUUGCGUUAUUAGAGCGGCCGAUAUCUGAUUAGCUUGUUGGUAGGGUAAAAGCCUACCAAGG